rnacentral:rRNA from 1 species
AACCAUGUGAUCUACCCAUGUCCAGGUUGAAGGUGCGGUAAAACGCACUGGAGGACCGAACCCACGUACGUUGAAAAGUGCGGGGAUGAGGUGUGGGUAGCGGAGAAAUUCCAAACGAACUUGGAGAUAGCUGGUUCUCUCCGAAAUAGCUUUAGGGCUAGCCUCGGAAUUGAGAAUGAUGGAGGUAGAGCACUGUUUGGACUAGGGGCCCAUCUCGGGUUACCGAAUUCAGAUAAACUCCGAAUGCCAUUCAUUUAUAUCCGGGAGUCAGACUGCGAGUGAUAAGAUCCGUAGUCGAAAGGGAAACAGCCCAGACCACCAGCUAAGGUCCCAAAAUAUAUGUUAAGUGGAAAAGGAUGUGGGGUUGCACAGACAACUAGGAUGUU